rnacentral:SRP_RNA from 1 species
CCUGGGCUUGGUGGUGCAUACCUAUAAUCCCACCUACCAGAGAAGCUGAGGCUGAUAGAUCUCUUGAGCUCAGGAGUUUUGAGCUGUAGUGGGCUAAGCUGAUCAGCUGUCCCUCACUAAAUCCAGUAUCAAUGCAGAAAUGGGGAUUGGAGAACUAGGUUGACUAAGGAGGGGCUUCUGGUCUCUGUUGAAAAUGGAAUAGGUCAAAGCUCCUCUUAUUGAUCAAUAAGGGGAUCAGACUGUUGAGUAGACCCUGUACGUCAAGCCUGCAUGACAUAAGGAGACCUAGUCUCA